UACGGAGGGUGCAAGCGUUAUCCGGAUUUACUGGGUUUAAAGGGUGCGUAGGCGGGUUAUUAAGUCAGUGGUGAAAGCUCCAUGCCUAACAUGGAAAUUGCCAUUGAUACUGAUGAUCUUGAGUACAUUUGAAGUGGGCGGAAUGUGUCAUGUAGCGGUGAAAUGCUUAGAUAUGACACAGAACACCAAUUGCGAAGGCAGCUCACUACGCGAAUAUUGACACUGAGGCACGAAAGCGUGGGGAUCAAACAGG
rnacentral:rRNA from 1 species